UACCAGGAUUUCACAAUAUUCAACUGUAAUAUUUCACACUAAAUUCCUGUAUUAUCACUUUUACAGGAUUUAACUUUAAUUUUCACAAUAUAAGAUUGUAAUUUCGACAUUUACUAUAAAAACAGUGCCACCACAGUAAACUGCUGUGAUAUUUGCAGUUUCAAUUAUUACCAGGAUUUCACAGCAUUGUAUUGCAUUAUUUCACCGUGAAAUACUGUAUUAAGACUAUCCUCCGCAAAAACACAGCAAAUUACAUGAACCGCGCUGAAUUGUGGGACUUAACGUUACCGCUGAUUUUCAAAAUUUAAUGUUUGAUGCCACCCGGAGCACAGGAAAGGAAAGAAGUCGGGUCUGCAUAUUCUGUCAAGAGCCAGGUUUCCUCAAGGUAGCCGAGUGACGCCCGGCCCACUUCACUGAAGGCUGCGAGCAGAUACCACACCGGGGACUAGCACGCAGCCAUGUGCCACUGCCGCUGAUGUCCAAAGGACAGAGAUUCUGCCAAGCACCCCCUGCUUGAUUGUACAAGGUGACCUGAUGAAGCCAAGGUCGUGGAUGCUGUCCAUUGAAAAAAAUGUUGUGAUGGGACCACACGACAACAUUUUGAGCGGGUUGGCUGCGCUUUUCGCCAGCUUCUACAAUCUCAAUCUCCAGUACCCUGACAACAGUUCGUGCACUUUGGAGUUUAUUCAAAGGUAUAGUCAUUUUAAAAUUAGCA